rnacentral:lncRNA from 1 species
CUUUACCUUCCUCCUUCAACUCGAUAGCCUUUUUUAAUUUUUAGAUUCUCCUAUUUAUUUUAUCCACCUCUCUGGUUUUGAGCUUCAUUUCUUUAUUACUGAAAUUCGAAUAAAAAAGCAACAUAUCAUGGGCAAGGGUCUUGGUCUCUACACUGAAAAUCGACAAGAAAGCCAGAGGUAUAAAAUUACCAUUUUUUUUAAAAACAAGAAAGCUUUAACGUUGUAAUAUUUAUGUCUAAUUUUUAAAUUUUUG